rnacentral:tmRNA from 1 species
GGGGCUGAUUCUGGAUUCGACGGGAUUCGCGAAACCCAAGGUGCAUGCCGAGGUGCGGUGGCCUCGUAAAAAACCGCAAAAAAAAUAGUUGCAAACGACGAAAACUACGCACUAGCAGCUUAAUAACCUGCUUAGAGCCCUCUCUCCCUAGCCUCCGCUCUUAGGACGGGGAUCAAGAGAGGUCAAACCUAAAAGAGCUCGUGUGGAAACCUUGCCUGGGGUGGAAGCAUUAAAACUAAUCAGGAUAGUUUGUCAGUAGCGUGUCCAUCCGCAGCUGGCCGGCGAAUGUAAUGAUUGGACUAAGCAUGUAGUGCCGACGGUGUAGUAAUUUCGG